rnacentral:rRNA from 1 species
UGCCAGCCGCCGCGGUAAUACGGAGGGGGUUAGCGUUGUUCGGAAUUACUGGGCGUAAAGCGCGCGUAGGUGGCCAAGUCAGUCAGAUGUGAAAGCCCUGGGCUCAACCUGGGAACUGCAUUCGAUACUGGCCAACUAGAGUACGGGAGAGGGAGGUAGAAUUCCACGUGUAGCGGUGAAAUGCGUAGAUAUGUGGAGGAAUACCGGUGGCGAAGGCGGCCUCCUGGCUCGAUACUGACGCUGAGGUGCGAAAGCGUGGGGAGCAAACAGGAUUAGAUA